CUCCGCCAUUCAGCUGCACGGGCUAGCAUGCUACCGAGCGGACAGAGAUACAGCACUGUCUGGACUCAACUCCAGGCUGCAGAGCGACGAUGUCGAAAAUCCAAGGCUCGGGUGGACCUGGAUGUCUACAAAGAACUCUUAGCUACCUUUCACUCUGCUGUCUCCUCAGGGUGAAGAUCUGCUCGCAGCAGGAAUGGCCAUUACGGAAACCCGCCUGCUCUUCUCGCAGCCGUUGGUCGACGGCGUGGCGCAGACGACGUAAAAGAACAGCGCAGAAAGCCUUCCCUGGAAUCGAAAGGAGCGUGAUGUCUCCCAAUUUGUGCAGUUGGUGACAUUGCCUUUCUUGGGGAGCCAAACGAUGACGCCUUUUCUCCAAUCCUCGGGGACUUUCCCCUGGCGCCAGCAGAUGUCAAAUAGGUGGGUCAGCUGUACGGCCAGGGGCUGACCACCUGCUUUCAGGAGCUCUGGGUUGAUCUCAUCCAGUCUAGCCGCCUUAUUGUUCUGGAACCCUUUGAUGGCCAUCUUCGUCUGUUCGAUCGAAAUAUCGCCCAUGUUGACAACUAGGUCAUUAUGCGCCUCUCCUACGGUGAAAUCGUACGUGGCAGGUGGGUCAAGUUGGUUUAUGAUGUCUCGAAAAUGUUUCAUCCACCUUUCGUCCUGUUCAGCUAUAGUUCAGGAGAAGCUUUCCAUGUUUGUCUUUAACUGGGAUGUUCGAAUAGCUCAGUGAUCCCGUGAGCUCACUAAUGAUUUGGUAGAGCGUUCUGGAGUCGCUGCUGUCCACUGUGUCCUGGGCCUCCGCCCCCUUCCAUAGGAAUCAGUCUUUCUUGUCUCGACGACAUGAUUGACUCGACAGUCGAAGUUGGCAUAUACUGUGGUCGCGAGGGCUCGUUCAUUCCCAGCGUCAGCCUGAUCCCUCCGUUUCAUUCUUCGUCUUUCAUUGAUCAGUUGCCAUGAUCCGAAUACUACGCAAAAUUAAUUGAUAAAAAUCAGAAGAACCCUCGCAUC